rnacentral:rRNA from 1 species
CGGCCCAGACUCCUACGGGAGGCAGCAGUGGGGAAUAUUGCACAAUGGGCGCAAGCCUGAUGCAGCGACGCCGCGUGAGGGAUGACGGCCUUCGGGUUGUAAACCUCUGUUAGCAUCGAAGAAGCGAAAGUGACGGUAGGUGCAGAGAAAGCGCCGGCUAACUACGUGCCAGCAGCCGCGGUAAUACGUAGGGCGCGAGCGUUGUCCGGAAUUAUUGGGCGUAAAGAGCUUGUAGGCGGUUGGUCGCGUCUGCUGUGAAAGGCUGGGGCUUAACCCUGGUUUUGCAGUGGGUACGGGCUAACUAGAGUGCAGUAGGGGAGACUGGAAUUCCUGGUGUAGCGGUGGAAUGCGCAGAUAUCAGGAGGAACACCGAUGGCGAAGGCAGGUCUCUGGGCUGUAACUGACGCUGAGAAGCGAAAGCAUGGGGAGCGAACAGGAUUAGAUACCCUGGUAGUCCAUGCCGUAAACGUUGGGCACUAGGUGUGGGGGGCAUUCCACGUUUUCCGCGCCGUAGCUAACGCAUUAAGUGCCCCGCCUGGGGAGUACGGCCGCAAGGCUAAAACUCAAAGAAAUUGACGGGGGCCCGCACAAGCGGCGGAGCAUGCGGAUUAAUUCGAUGCAACGCGAAGAACCUUACCAAGGCUUGACAUAUACUGGACUGCGUCAGAGAUGGCGUUUCCCUUCGGGGCUGGUAUACAGGUGGUGCAUGGUUGUCGUCAGCUCGUGUCGUGAGAUGUUGGGUUAAGUCCC